rnacentral:lncRNA from 13 species
GGCAGCCACGUCCCUCACACAACUCCACCUGCUCCCUGUGAGCACCAAGAGCCACCCUGUUAUACCGGAGGGUGGUGGUAGAGUCGAUAAUGCGCCUAACGAGCCCCAGAAGAAGAAAAAUGCCACAUGAUGCAACUGUCUAAUAAGAUGUUUGCCAACCCCAGUGGAACAUGACAGAUUACAAAGGAAUUUCUUCCAGAGGAUAUCUUCAAAGGAUGUGCACAGAUGUAUUUUAAAAUAAAUUGGGUAAGGGAAUAUUUCACCUGCCUCACACUUGCUGUGCAUACUCCAUAACCCUGCUUAAGAGCCUGGAUGAAGACUGCUAUCAAAAGCUGGUGGUGCUCUCCCUCCUGAAUGACUUUGCUCAUUUGUAGACCUCCCUUCAAAGGCAGGUGCUAAAUACUGGUAAGAGGCAGAAGGAAAUCUCCUCUUGGAGUGGAACUG